GUCAAUGCUCAGGGUCGCGCCUGGUUAGUACUUGGAUGGGAGACCACCUAGGAAGACCAGGUGCUGUAGGCA
rnacentral:rRNA from 1 species